rnacentral:tRNA from 1 species
GGUGGCUCAGUGGUAGAGUGCUUGCCUGACAUGCAUGAGGCCCUGGGUUCAAUUCCUCAGCACCA